rnacentral:rRNA from 1 species
CACGAACGCUGGCGGCAUGCCUAACACAUGCAAGUCGAACGAGACCUUCGGGUCUAGUGGCGCACGGGUGCGUAAUGCGUGGGAACCUGCCCUUAGGUUCGGAAUAACUCCCCGAAAGGGGUGCUAAUACCGGAUAAUGUCUUCGGACCAAAGAUUUAUCGCCUUUGGAUGGGCCCGCGUUGGAUUAGCUAGUUGGUAGGGUAAAAGCCUACCAAGGCGACGAUCCAUAGCUGGUCUGAGAGGAUGAUCAGCCACACUGGGACUGAGACACGGCCCAGACUCCUACGGGAGGCAGCAGUGGGGAAUAUUGGACAAUGGGCGAAAGCCUGAUCCAGCAAUGCCGCGUGAGUGAUGAAGGCCUUAGGGUUGUAAAGCUCUUUUACCCGGGAUGAUAAUGACAGUACCGGGAGAAUAAGCUCCGGCUAACUCCGUG